rnacentral:rRNA from 1 species
CCAGCAGUACCCUCCCGGGGUGAUGGGUACGACUGUGGGAGACCGCCGGCUGCUAAAGCGGAGGAAGGAGUGGGCAACGGUAGGUCAGUAUGCCCCGAAUCUCCCGGGCUACACGCGGGCUACAAUGGUUGGUACAAUGGGCAUCUACCCCGAAAGGGGAAGGAAAUCUCUUAAAGCCAAUCGUAGUUCGGAUUGAGGGCUGCAACUCGCCCUCAUGAAGCUGGAAUCCGUAGUAAUCGCGUUUCAACAGAACGCGGUGAAUACGUCCCUGCUCCUUU